AGAUGGCAGCCCGCGUCCCUGUGUGAAGCCGUCUGCAGCAGCUGCCAGAGCCCUGCUUGCUGUUUCCUUUCUCACCACCCACCUCACCCGGAAAUCCCCUGGUGAUUUCAAGACCUGACCUCUGCACCCUUUUGCUCCCCACCUGUCCCAAAAAAGUGGAGCUAUAACUGUGGGAAAAGGGGAUCUGAAGUCAGACACAGGAUCCACAGUAGCCUGGGGACCUUUCUCACCCCCGCCCUUAAGCAGGCCCCAACAUAACCGGCUGAGAAACCUCCUCUGCCAGAUCCUGACCUGAGCCAGGAGGCGGCCAGGAAACUGGAUUUUGGGACUGGGAUUUCAGAGAGGAAGCUGGAGAGCUGCAGGGCGCAGCUGGCUGGGCUCCUGCUUCCCACUCUCCACCUCAUCCAUAUUUGUCCUCGUCCCUGCCAGUCUCGAAAAGGCACUCUGUCACGUGUACACAGGAAAGGGCCCUGACAAGAGGAUGGGACUGCAGUUGUGGCUGCCAGGGCCCCGGCCAGGGUGAAAACAAGGAACAUUCCAGAGAAGAUCACAAGGAUGCGAAUAAAAUCGGAGCUGCACAGGGAUCUUUGGGCUGUAAUAGGAGGGGACACACAGGGGUUAGGGGAGGGUCUAGCCCUUGGCUCCCUCAGCCCAGCCCUCCUGUCACCUUGCCUCUCCCCUUUCCCCCACCUUAUUCUAUCCCACCCGCCACCGUUGGCCAACUCCUCUCCUAAACAGUGGACUCUGCUUUUUCCCCUCCUCUUAUCCCUAAUCCUAGGAGCUUUCUGUCUGGCUUCCCUCCUGGCCCCUCGUGUAUGCAUUCUCUCUAGCGGUGGGGAUUAAGGAGAAAACUCACGUGGCCAGUGGGUAGAGAGAGUCCGGGCAGGCAGCUGCCUGAAGUCAGCCAGAGUCUGCAUGUGCCCAGCUGUCCUGGCCUCCAGCAUCUCUGGAAAAACAGAGACAGAAUGAGUAGCAGCAGGGGACCCCAUAGGGCACAUCUGAAGGCCUGAGAGGUGCUGGAUGGGAUGGGAAGGCAGAAACAGGCUGACCUUAUCUAGGGGUAGGAGUGGGGAGUACUGGUUGGGGUAUCACCGCUACCCCACGUGAUGGCACAGAGAGUUGCCUGGAACUUACCACUGACAUAAGGUUGGAGUGCAGUGGCACGAUCUCGGCUCAGUGCAACCUCCGCCUCCUGAGUUCAAGUGAUUCUCCUGCCUCAGCCUCCCUAGUAGCUGGGAUUACAGGACAAGGAGAGGGACAAAUUCCUUCUUGGCAUCCUUAUGGCCCUGUGACCUGCUAAUGAAUGCUGACUCUGAGUUGCUACUAGAAUUUGGUUUCCUUGUGGCUUCCCAGGAAUUGUGAGCCAUGUUGGAUAAGGACCUGCAAGGGAAGAAUGAGGAAGCCUGGGACAGUGCAGGAGGGGAGAGCACUGGUGGUAGAGAGGAGUGAUGACAAGGGUCUCCGCCAAAAGGGAAAUGGAGGGGUUAAAGAAGCUGCUGGGGAGGGUUAAAAACAAUGUGUUCUCACUCGUAGGUGGGAAUUGAACAAUGAGAACACUUGGACACAGGAAGGGGAACAUCACACACUGGGGCCUGUCGUGGGGUGUGGGGAGGGAGGAGGGAUAGCAUUAGGAGAUAUACCUAAUGUAAAUGAUGAGUUAAUGGGUGCAGCACACCAACAUGGCACAUGUAUACCUAUGUAACAAACCUGCACAUUGUGUACAUGUACCCUAGAACUUAAAGUAUAAUUAAAAAACAAAACAAAACAAAACAAAAACAAUGAGGUGCUAUUGUUUUAGUGGUGAGUAUCCGGAGACCUGGGAGUUCUAUUUACCAGGUAUAACCUGGGCUCAAAAUUCCAGGCUGACUUCAGGCAUGUCCUCAUCUCAUAGAUGCCAGCACUAAGGCCCAGAGAGGGCCGAGCUCAUUCAGCCCACCCAUCUUCUCACCCCUGACUGCAUUUCCCGGGGGUCCUUCUGCAGCCAGGUGCUGCUGUGGUACUUUGGGAUCUAUUGGCUGAGCUCCCAGAGAAGGGUCAUGGAUUGGGCUAGUUUGGAACAAGUGAAGGGACUGAAGAUGGGCUCAGUAUGGGGCGAAGACCUUCAGGAAGGGUCUGCAGAGUGAGUAGGGGGGUUUUGACUAGGAAAAGUUCCAACCCUGCCGGGGCCGCUGUCAAGAGAAAAGCAUCUAUUACAGUUACAUUUUUAAGUUAAGUAGACUGAAGAAUAUUUCUUGUGUAUUAAAGACGUUCCUUUUUGGUUGAUUUGCAAUGGAAAAGCUUUUGUUUUCUUUUUUUUUUUGGAAACAGGGUCUCACUCUGCUCACUCUGUCUCCCAAGCUGGAGUGCAGUGGUACAGUCACGGCUCACUGCAGCCUCCACUUCCUGGACUCAAGUGAUCUUCUCACUUCAGCCUUCUGAGUAGCUGGGACUACAGCCCCCUCUGCAGCUCUUCAUGGGGGUCCACUCAAGUCAGAAGCCACAUUUGGGUGUGAUUCAGAGAGCUGUUUAUGCAAAACCAGCUUUGUCACCAUCAGGCAAGGCACCUGAAUUCCCACCGCAGAGAGUGUUGUGGCCGUGAGGACUUUUCUGUCACCAGCCAUUUCCAGGUAGACCCAGUGUAAUCACAAGCAUCCUUGUAAGUGGCAAAGAGGCAGAGGAGACAGCGCCAGAGAGGCAGCUGCAUGAGAAGGAUCAAGAUGUUGCUGACUUUGAAGUUGGAAGAAGAAGGCCAUGAGCCUCAGUAUGUGGGCGGCUUCUAGAAGCUGGAAGGGGCAAGGAGAUGGAUUUGACCCUUCAGCCUCCAGGGGCAGCUGUACCUGCCAUCACUGAUUGUAGCCUGGUGAGGCCUGUUUUAGACUUCUGACCUGUAGAGCUGUAACAUAAUACAUUUGGGUUGUUUUCAACCACUAAGUUUGUGGUAAUUUGUUGUAGCAGCUGUAGAAAAUGAAUACAUAUGAAUCCUCUGGCAUUUGUUUGAGAUUUGCUCUAUGGCCUAGUAUGUGGUUGUAAAUGUUCCAUCUGUGCCUGAAAAAAUGUAUAUUUCUAAUUCAGUAGUCUCUGCUUUUUUUUUUUAUUUUGUACCCCAUCAAUAAAAUGAUUUUCAGCAUGUAUCCCCAAAUAAACAAUAUUUUAUUUAUUGAUUGAUUGAUAAACAGACAUGUUUAAUGAUAGCUUGCUUUUCACAGAGGUGACUUCGGAGACUUCUAAUCUAUAAUCCAGGAGUAUAUAACCAUG
rnacentral:lncRNA from 1 species